rnacentral:rRNA from 1 species
UGGGGAAUAUUGCACAAUGGGCGGAAGCCUGAUGCAGCAACGCCGCGUGCGGGAUGACGGCCUUCGGGUUGUAAACCGCUUUCGCCUGUGACGAAGCGUGAGUGACGGUAAUGGGUAAAGAAGCACCGGCUAACUACGUGCCAGCAGCCGCGGUGAUACGUAGGGUGCGAGCGUUGUCCGGAUUUAUUGGGCGUAAAGGGCUCGUAGGUGGUUGAUCGCGUCGGAAGUGUAAUCUUGGGGCUUAACCCUGAGCGUGCUUUCGAUACGGGUUGACUUGAGGAAGGUAGGGGAGAAUGGAAUUCCUGGUGGAGCGGUGGAAUGCGCAGAUAUCAGGAGGAACACCAGUGGCGAAGGCGGUUCUCUGGGCCUUUCCUGACGCUGAGGAGCGAAAGCGUGGGGAGCGAACAGGCUUAGAUACCCUGGUAGUCCACGCUGUAAACGGUGGGUACUAGGUGUGGGGUCCAUUCCACGGGUUCCGUGCCGUAGCUAACGCUUUAAGUACCCCGCCUGGGGAGUACGGCCGCAAGGCU